GAUGAACGCUGGCGGCGUGCCUAACACGUGCAAGUCGAACGGAGAUUACGGACGGAAGUUUUCGGAUGGAAGCCUGUAAUUCUUAGUGGCGGACGGGUGAGUAACGCGUGGGCAACCUGCCCUAUACAGGGGGAUAGCAGCUGGAAACGGCUGGUAAGACCGCAUAAGUCGGUUAAAUCGCAUGAUUUGAUCGGGAAAUGAGCAAUCAGGUAUAGGAUGGGCCCGCGUCCGAUUAGCCAGUUGGCAGGGUAAAAGCCUACCAAAGCGACGAUCGGUAGCCGGACUGAGAGGUCGGACGGCCACAUUGGGACUGAGACACGGCCCAAACUCCUACGGGAGGCAGCAGUGGGGGAUAUUGCACAAUGGAGGAAACUCUGAUGCAGCGACGCCGCGUGAGUGAAGAAGUAUUUCGGUAUGUAAAGCUCUAUCAGCAGGGAAGAUGAUGACGGUACCUGACUAAGAAGCCCCGGCCAACUACGUG
rnacentral:rRNA from 1 species